rnacentral:rRNA from 1 species
CUUGAACGCUGGCGGCAGGCCUAACACAUGCAAGUCGAACGCGUUGCGGACGGGUGAGUAAUGUCUGGCAAACUGCCUGAUGGAGGGGGAUAACUACUGGAAACGGUACCUAAUACCGCAUACCAUCGGAUGUGCCCAGAUGGGAUUAGCUAGUAGGUAGGGUAACGGCUCACCUAGGCGACGCUCCCUAGCUGGUCUGAGAGGACGACCAUCCACACGGGCACGAGGCCACGGUCCAGACUCAUACGGGUGGCAGCGUGGGGGAGUAUUUCACAAGGGGCGAGAGCCGGAUGCAGCCAUGCCGCGUGUAUGAAGAGGGCCGUCGGGUUGUAAAGGACUUUCAGCGGGGAGGCGUUACCCGCAGAAGAAGCACCGGCUAACUCCGUGCCAGCAGCCGCGGUAAUUC